rnacentral:rRNA from 1 species
AUGACGAGAGUGAAGAAUAGUUACUAUGUACUUCCUAGAGAACCUGAGCCGAAGCGUACCGUGUCAAACACUCACAGCAUUGGGAAGGUGAUGUUCCUAACAGCUAUUGCCAAGCCUCGAUAUAACAAUGAGGGGGAGCUAACAUUCGACGGGAAGAUUGGCAUUUGGGCAUUCGUUGAAGAGACUGAGGCGAAGCGGACAAGUCAUAACAGAACAAAGGGAACAAAAGUGUUGACAUCAGUGAAAGUAACUAGGCCUGUGUGUAGAGAUUAUCUAAUCAAUAAGGUUAUCCCGGCAAUUCAGGAUAAGUGGCCUGACGAUGACGAGGGAGCAACAAUAUUCAUCCAACAGGAUAAUGCAAAGCCCCAUGUCCUUCCCAAUGAUGUAGCUUUUCGAGAAGCUGUGGAACAAACUGAUCUUGACAUCCGAUUGCUACGACAGCCCCCAAAUAGCCCUGAGUUAAAUUGUUUGGACCUCUGCUUCCAUACCUCUCUCCAGUCUCUAACUGACUGCAGGUCACCUACAAACAUCUAG